rnacentral:tRNA from 1 species
GAAAAUGUGGUAUAAGGUUUAUACUAUACGAUUGCAAAUCGAUAUACUAAGGGUUCAAUUCCCUUCAUUUUCU